AGACACCCUUAUGGGGCAAGUGUUGCUUCAGUGGGGCUUUGGUGCUCACUGAGUCUUCCCCCUGAGUGUGUCCCU
rnacentral:pre_miRNA from 1 species